GAUGAACGCUGGCGGCGUGCUUAACACAUGCAAGUCGAACGAAAAGGCCCUGCUUUUGUGGGGUGCUCGAGUGGCGAACGGGUGAGUAACACGUGAGUAACCUCCACCUGACUUUGGGAUAACUUCAGGAAACUGGGGCUAAUAUCGGAUAGGAGCUCCUGCUCCGUGGUGGUGGUUGGAAAGUUUUGGCGGUUGGGGAUGGUCUCGCGGGUUAUGAGCUUGUUGGUGGGGUAGUGGCUUACAAAGCCUGUGAAGGGUAGGCGACCUGAGAGGGUGGCCGGGCACAAUAGGACUAAGGUACGGAGCAGACUCCUACGGGAGGCAGCGGGGGGGAAUAUGACACAAUGGGCGGGAGCCAGUGACGACGACGCCGCGAGCGGAAUGACGUGCUUCUAGUGGUGAACCACUGUCGCCUGUGACGAAGCGUUAGUGACGGUAAUGAGUAAGAAAGCACCGGCUAACUACGUG
rnacentral:rRNA from 1 species